UCACCGAGGGCAACAAUAAAUCACAUCAACACGGCAUUUUUCAAUAGCCAGAGGUCUAUUCUGGACAUCUCAUCUAUGUAUCUAUCUAUCCAGAGUCCGCUGGAUUCCACAGAAUCUCUCCCAAAGACUGACGUUCCUCUCGGUCCCUCUGGGGCCCUGCUACCAGCCGAAGUCUGGGCCAGCUGCCACAGG